GACGAACGCUGGCGGCGUGCUUAACACAUGCAAGUCGAACGGAAAGGCCCUGCUUUUGUGGGGUGCUCGAGUGGCGAACGGGUGAGUAACACGUGAGUAACCUGCCCAUGACUUUGGGAUAACUUCAGGAAACUGGGGCUAAUACCGGAUAGGAGCUCCUGCUGCGUGGUGGGGGUUGGAAAGUUUCGGCGGUUGGGGAUGGACUCGCGGCUUAUCAGCUUGUUGGUGGGGUAGUGGCUUACCAAGGCUUUGACGGGUAGCCGGCCUGAGAGGGUGACCGGCCACAUUGGGACUGAGAUACGGCCCAGACUCCUACGGGAGGCAGCAGUGGGGAAUAUUGCACAAUGGGCGGAAGCCUGAUGCAGCAACGCCGCGUGCGGGAUGACGGCCUUCGGGUUGUAAACCGCUUUCGCCUGUGACGAAGCGUGAGUGACGGUAAUGGGUAAAGAAGCACCGGCUAACUACGUG
rnacentral:rRNA from 1 species